GACGAACGCUGGCGGCGUGCUUAACACAUGCAAGUCGAGCGGUAAGGCCCUUUCGGGGGUACGACGAGCGGCGAACGGGUGAGUAACACGUGGGUGACCUGCCCUCAGCUCUGGGAGUAAGCCUGGGAAACCGGGGUACUAAUACCGGAUAUGACUCCAUGACGCAUGUUGUGGGGUGGAAAGCCUUGUGCGGCUGAGGAUGGGCCCGCGGCCUAUCAGCUUGUUGGUGGGGUGAUGGCCUACCAAGGCGACGACGGGUAGCCGGCCUGAGAGGCGACCGGCCACACUGGGACUGAGACACGGCCCAGACUCCUACGGGAGGCAGCAGUGGGGAAUCUUGCGCAAUGGGCGAAAGCCUGACGCAGCGACGCCGCGUGAGGGAUGACGGCCU
rnacentral:rRNA from 1 species